AAUAAGCUAAGAGCGAGAGUGAAUUUCUUAGAUUACUACUUAAAGAUGUUUGUUCUUUGUUACCACAGAGCUUCUGCUCAGGAGUCACCAGACAAGUCAUUGGAAUCUGUACAGCACUGGAUUCUCUUGAGCACCUAUAAAUUUUCGUAACAUCAGCUCCAAUAACCAUCAAGCCUGCAGAGUUUUCCUGUGUCCUUGAUGAACUGCAGUGCAGAUGUUUCUUGUUCAUUACUCUCUACAUCAAUGGAUGACUGCCAUCAAGCACCCUGAGCUCCUCUUUGACCAGAACAGCAAAAUAAAGCAGGCUAAAGUCAUCACAUAAAUGCUACAUUGCAGAAGUUACGUUUCUUUUGUUAAAAGGAGUGAAUUAAUGAAGAAAGAAUGAGUCUACAAGUAAACUCUCAGGUACAGUGCAUGCCUACUGAAUAAAUAAUUGUGAGGGUCACUUAGAAGCUUUGUU
rnacentral:lncRNA from 1 species